GGACUACAGGGGUUUCUAAUCCUGUUUGAUCCCCACGCUUUCGUGCCUCAGUGUCAGUUGUAGUUUUGUAAGCUGCCUUCGCAAUGGGUGUUCUGUGUCAUAUCUAAGCAUUUCACCGCUACAUGACACAUUCCACUUACAUCAAAUACACUCAAGAACAACAGUAUCAAUGGCAGUUCUAUAGUUAAGCUAUAGGUUUUCACCACUGACUUGUCAUUCCACCUACGCACCCUUUAAACCCAGUAAAUCCGGAUAACGCUUGGAUCCUCCGUAUUACCGCGGCUGCUGGCAC
rnacentral:rRNA from 1 species